ACCCGCCGGGGGGACACGCCUAAACUCUUGUCAACCGUGCCGUCUGAGAAAAAACAUAAUAAUUUAAAACUUUCAACAACGGAUCUCUUGGUUCUGGCAUCGAUGAAGAACGCAGCGAAAUGCGAUAAGUAACGUGAAUUGCAGAAUUCAGUGAAUCAUCGAAUCUUUGAACGCACAUUGCGCCCUUUGGUAUUCCGAAGGGCAUGCCUGUUCGAGCGUCAUUUCAAACCUCAAGCUUCUGCUUGGUAUUGGGCGUCGUCCGUCUAGGACGUGCCAGAAACACGUGGGCGGUGGUGCCGGUCUCCCAGCGUAGUCAAAUCUAUCCGCUCCGGAGUGCAGGUGCCGCCCGCCAGAUAAGCUUAAAUCUAUCUAUGGUUUGACCUCGGAUCAGGUAG
rnacentral:rRNA from 1 species